CACACACACACACACACACACACUCCCAUACACCUGACACAGACCUUCCCACACACUCCUCAUACAUCUCUGAAGCUCGAGGUUUUUAGUUGAUGAAGGUGACAGAAAAGCAGAAUGGGACCUCGCACAGCAGUCGGGCCAUCCAAACAGAUGAAGGUCGCCCCUCAGGAUCGUCGUGGUAGCAGGAGUGACGGUGUUGAAGAGGCAGGUGAGUCCAGAAGAGCUGCAGACACCUGGAGGGAAAUAUCUAAAAAGGAUAUUCACUAUCGUCGGGGAUGCUGUGGGCUGGGGGUUUGUUGUGAGAGGCAGCAGUCCAUGUCACAUUCAGGCUGUGGAUCCUAGCGGACCAGCUGCUGCUGUUGGAAUGAAGGUAUGUCAGUUUGUAGUGUGUGUAAACGGAGUGAAUGUUUUGGAGAUGGACUACCGGACGGUCAGUCAUCUCAUCCUCACCGGACCUCGCACUGUCGUCAUGGAGGUGAUGGAGGCGCUCGAUUGCUGAGGAUAUGACUAAACAAGCUACUCUAAAAAUUCAAAGAAGUAAUUCAAAAACAAUUGAAAAAAAAAAAAAAAGUUCACUAACAUACAAGGUGAUGAGUUGCUGCAUCAGACUGCUAAAAAAAAAAAAAAACAAAAAAAAAAAACCCUGUAAAUUGUGACAGUACCCAUCAUAUUUGUAAAGAACAACCCUUUGUGUUUGCUGUUUGUAAAACCAGCUCAGGUGCAGAGGGACAAUCUUUGACCCCAACGCUGUCUCUUGCAUGGCAACGUUUAUAAAAAUGAUAAAUCGGUACGAAACAAAGAAUGGUUCUCCGUAUUAGAUUUUAAACAUUAGACAGUUUGUAAGCAGACCUGAAAUACCGUGAGGGGAAAUAAGUAUUCAGACACUUUUGUUUUUGUUAUUUAACAUACGUCCUGUGCAUAUUUCCACUUCAAAUGUACACUCAUAAUGUCUUUUUUUUUUUUUUUUUUUUCGUUUUUAUAAAUAUGAACAAAAACACAUAUAGUCCUAAACAUUAAACAAAUAUAUCUUUUAAGAAAUUGACUAGAUUAAAAAAUUUCAAUAUAUAUCAAAUGGGGAAAAAAAUAUAUUAUGUAUAGAAAUCAAAUUCAAGAUGCAAAAAAAAAAAAAUUAAAAAAAAAAUGCCCUUGAGAUUAUUAUUGGUGACAUUUAUUAUAAAAGAUGUUGCAUUUGGUUGAGAAGAUUUCACGCAACAAGUAGCAAUCAUGGUGAAGGUGAAGGGGCUUCCUAAAAUUCUCAGGUACAACAUCACUCGAAUGGGAAUUAGCUACAGAGCCAUCGCGAAGAACUUAAACAUCCUCUUAAACAUAGAACUAUUGUUUUGAUGAUCUGCAGGUGCGUCACACACACAGUAUUUCACAACAUGCCCUCGGACUAAUGAUAAGGAAGAUUAGAGAGAAGCCAACCGUCACUGGAAAUGAGUUGCAGGAUGACCUGAAAGCAGCAGGAACAACAGUGACACACACAACAAGAAGCAAUGAACUGCACCACAAUCAUCCUCAUUCCUAAACCUCACACAAAACUAAAAGAGAAACAUCUAAAAACAUUUAGAAUCAGAAUAAUUUACUAACAUAAAGAAAGCACUCUUUGCCAAUACUUCAGCUCAUCACGUGUGGAGAAAGGAGCGUCGUGUCUGAUCUUUAAGAACAUUAUAUCCACAGUGAAGCAUGGGGGUGGGAGUUUUGUGAUAAGUUCUGCUUCUCUGCAGACAGUACUGGGGCAUUACACGUCAUGAUUGCCAGAAACACGAAUGGAGUGAUGUACUGGGACAUACACGACCGGCCGGUCAAAAGUUUGUGGACACUCGACUCAGAUGUUUCUCAUGAUGUUAAAAAGCUUUCGAUCUGAAGGCGUGUGAUGAAACGUGUGAAAUCGGUGUCGUAGACGAAAAUAUAAUCGUGCCGACGUAUCCGUUUCUUUCAUUAGAAAACGAACGUUUUAUUUACAAACGAAAUUCAUUUAAACGGACGACUCGGAGGGAAAUAUUUCCGAAAAGCAGCCGAUAAGUGUCCGGCGUCGGUGUGAACUAAUAAUACUUUAAUGCUGUUUAAAAAGCAUCUCAGGGAAAUUCCUCAAGAAAUCAGCUGAGAAAACGCUUCUUCGAGUCAAAAAGGGCGUCCGCUUUGAAGAUGCUAAAAUACUCCGUUAUUUUGAUUCAUUGUGGAUUUUUUAUCACAACACAAUUCCCAUAGUUCCCUUUGUGUUACUCCAGAGUUUUGAUGACUUUAUUAUUAUUCUAAAAUGUGUGUGGGGGGGGGGGGAUAAAAAAUAAUGAGUGUGCCUAAACUUUUGACCGGUAGUGUAUAAGAGGAGAAUUUAAUCUCAUCAGCUAAGGAAGUGAAUCUGGGGUGAAGCUGGACGGUUCAAUAACCCCAAACAUACAGCACAUAAUAACACACGUAAGAAAGAAACUGAAGGUGCUUGCAUAGACUAGCCAAUCUCCUGACUUCAUUUAUGGAGGACUGCCAAGAGGAAUGCGCCGAAAUCGGACCACGAUGCUGCAAAAAGAGAACGAAUUCUUACCAUAGACGUCUCGAAUCUGUGAUUUCCAACUACUAUUACUAAUAUGAGUACCAACUGUCCUAAUGUUGAUCAUUUAUGGUGUCUAAAUACGUUUUUUUUCCCUUAUCUCUUCUGUUUUUAAACAUAUCUUUGUUUAUGUUUAUGAAUACAUGUUUUUUUUUUUUUAUAAAGUCAUAUUUAUAAGUACGACGUCAAAGGAUACCACGUGUCUAGAUUUGUAGUGGAUAUAUGCACUGGAAGUAUAUUAAGUGCCUAAAUACUUAUUUCCCCUCACUAUAUUAGCAGAUAUUGAUUAGUAGAUCUAAGUUUUCAGUAGACGUUAUCAGUACUUAGCGAACAGAUUUUAGUUAUUGAUUAUCUGAGAUAUUGAUUUGUAGAUUUCCAUUUUCUCAGCAGUUCUUAGUUAGCAGUUAUUUUGGUAAAGUCCCAAUUUAAACUAGCAUACUGUAGACAUAUACAUAACAGUAUAUACACAUAUAUACACAUUGAUUUAGCUAGUCAGUUUAGUCACAAGAGCCCUACAGGUAGAGUGGGAAACGGUCAAUUUUAGAAAAUGUACCUUCUGACCAAUGAAAUAUGAGAAUUUAACAGUGCUGUGGUAUAAUAACUUAAAAAUAUCAAUACCAUAAUCGAUUCUUAUAUUAACUAACCUAACUUGCUGAUCUUUUAAGCACCGAUAUUUGGCCCAGUAAACUGAGAACUCCAGUUAUAAACGUGCUGUAAUUAUGGCUUUUGCAAUAAAAACCAGUAUACACCUUUAAAGCACCCUUAAUAUUUAUCAUGAACAUUUAAAAUAGUAUAAAUUAGUGAUGGACUGCUCUAAUGUAUUUCUUAUUAAAAGCGUAUUAUUAUAAGUACAAACUAUACAAUGUAAAGUACACAAUAAGCAUAAUUCAAACGAUUUCGUUUGUAAACAUUUAAUUCCAAACAUAAUUAUAUGUUGUCACUUAAUUCAUUAUGAAUACAUGUGCCACGGAAAGUAUUACCCAGAAUAUAUUGCUCAUUCGUUCUGUAUUCAUUGCUUUACAAUGAUGAGUUUGUACUUCAAUAGACAGUUAAUAAUGAUGAUUUCUGUAAAUGAACAUACUAAACAUACCUCCGUCUCUCUGUUACAAGUCUAAAUAUGAUUCGUUAUACUGCAUGUACACACUGGACUUAAUUUAAAGAUGGAUGUGUUGGGUUUAAUGUGUAAUGUGUGGUUAUGGUAGAGUACUUGCCUGUGCCGUGUGUUUGUAGCAUACAGUCUCUUUGUUUAACUUAGGAAAAGAUAUCCGGUUAAUUGGUUUAUUCUUUCUUUAGGUUUCUGCUACAGUUAUAUGUCUUUGUCCAUGUGCGCACUUAAAAAUAAAUUUCUAUGCACGCAA